GCCACAAACUAGAGAUUUUGUA
rnacentral:siRNA from 1 species